AGUUUAACGGCCGCGGUACCCUAACCGUGCGAAGGUAGCAUAAUCACUUGUUCUUUAAAUAGGGACUAGUAUCAACGGCAUCACGAGGGUUACACUGUCUCCUUUCUCCAAUCAGUGAAACUGAUCUCUCCGUGAAGAAGCGGGGAUAAAACUAUUAGACGAGAAGACCCCAUGGAGCUUUAAGCUCAACAACAACUCUUAUGAAAAUAAUUCCCCAUAGUACACGAACCCUGUUUGUUAGCUUUAGGUUGGGGUGACCGCGGAGUAUAAUUUAACCUCCACGGCGAAAGGGCAUAAACCCUAAUCCAAGAGCCACUGCUCUAAGAAUUUCUAAAUUAACGCACAAUGAUCCGAUUUUCGAUCAACGAACCAAGUUACCCUGGGGAUAACAGCGCAAUCCAUUUCUAGAGCUCCUAUCGACAAAUGGGUUUACGACCUCGAUGUUGGAUCAGGGUAUCCUAGUGGUGCAGCCGCUACUAAAGGUUCGUUUGUUCAACGAUUAAAACCCUACGUGAUCUGA
rnacentral:rRNA from 1 species